rnacentral:rRNA from 1 species
GAUGAACGCUGGCGGCGUGCCUAAUACAUGCAAGUCGAGCGAACGGACGAGAAGCUUGCUUCUCUGAUGUUAGCGGCGGACGGGUGAGUAACACGUGGAUAACCUACCUAUAAGACUGGGAUAACUUCGGGAAACCGGAGCUAAUACCGGAUAAUAUUUUGAACCGCAUGGUUCAAAAGUGAAAGACGGUCUUGCUGUCACUUAUAGAUGGAUCCGCGCUGCAUUAGCUAGUUGGUAAGGUAACGGCUUACCAAGGCAACGAUGCAUAGCCGACCUGAGAGGGUGAUCGGCCACACUGGAACUGAGACACGGUCCAGACUCCUACGGGAGGCAGCAGUAGGGAAUCUUCCGCAAUGGGCGAAAGCCUGACGGAGCAACGCCGCGUGAGUGAUGAAGGUCUUCGGAUCGUAAAACUCUGUUAUUAGGGAAGAACAUAUGUGUAAGUAACUGUGCACGUCUUGACGGUACCUAAUCAGAAAGCCACGGCUAACUACAUG